GACGAACGCUGGCGGCGUGCCUAAUACAUGCAAGUAGAACGCUGAAGGAGGAGCUUGCUCUUCUGGAUGAGUUGCGAACGGGUGAGUAACGCGUAGGUAACCUGCCUGGUAGCGGGGGAUAACUAUUGGAAACGAUAGCUAAUACCGCAUAACAGUAGAUGUUGCAUGACAUUUGCUUAAAAGGUGCAAUUGCACCACUACCAGAUGGACCUGCGUUGUAUUAGCUAGUUGGUGGGGUAACGGCUCACCAAGGCGACGAUACAUAACCGACCUGAGAGGGGGAUCGGCCCCACUGGGACUGAGACACGGCCCAGACUCCUACGGGAGGCAGCAGUAGGGAAUCUUCGGCCAUGGACGGAAGUCUGACCGAGCAACGCCGCGUGAGUGAAGAAGGUUUUCGGAUCGUAAAGCUCUGUUGUAAGAGAAGAACGAGUGUGAGAGUGGAAAGUUCACACUGUGACGGUAUCUUACCAGAAAGGGACGGCUAACUACGUG
rnacentral:rRNA from 1 species